rnacentral:miRNA from 1 species
CAAAACCGCGAUUACUCUUGCA